rnacentral:rRNA from 1 species
GGGUAAGUAGGUUGGUCGUGCCACCGGUACGUACUGGUCUCACUGAUUCCUCCUUCCUGAAGAACCGUAAUGCCAUUAAUUUGGUGUUGCGGGGAAACAGGACAGUUACUUUGAAAAAAUUAGAGUGUUUAAAGCAAGCUAACGCUUGAAUACAUUAGCAUGGAGUAAUGAAAUAGGACGAUCGAUCCUAUUUUGUUGGUUUCUAGGAUUGACGUA